rnacentral:misc_RNA from 1 species
GUGAAUCAUCGAAUUUUUGAACGCAAAUUGCACUCUCUUCGGCGAGUAUGCCUGUUUGAGUGUCAGCCUAAAAAAAAUCGACAUCUUUUCUGUUACGCGGUAACAUUCGUCCGUAAUUGGUUCAUCUUACCACUUUCGUUUUAUGCGGCUUAAAAUAUUCUUUACGAUUCCAAUCUCGUUUCUAAGCUUUUAUUUUCUUAUUCGUUUAAGCUAUCGAUCUUUAUUAGACGUGGCUUUUGCUUCU